rnacentral:rRNA from 1 species
UACGGAGGGUGCAAGCGUUAUCCGGAUUCACUGGGUUUAAAGGGUGCGUAGGUGGGUUGGUAAGUCAGUGGUGAAAUCUCCGUGCUUAACAUGGAAACUGCCAUUGAUACUACUGAUCUUGAAUUUUCAGGAGGUGAGCGGAAUAUGUCAUGUAGCGGUGAAAUGCUUAGAUAUGACAUAGAACACCAAUUGCGAAGGCAGCUUACUACAGGAAUAUUGACACUGAUGCACGAAAGCGUGGGGAUCAAACAGG